rnacentral:rRNA from 1 species
GACGAACGCUGGCGGCGUGCUUAACACAUGCAAGUCGAACGGUGAAGCUCCAGCUUGCUGGAGUGGAUCAGUGGCGAACGGGUGAGUAACACGUGAGCAACCUGCCCCUGACUCUGGAAUAAGCGCUGGAAACGGCGUCUAAUACUGGAUACGAGAAGGGUCCGCAUGGGCACUUUCUGGAAAGUUUUUCGGUUGGGGAUGGGCUCGCGGCCUAUCAGCUUGUUGGUGAGGUAAUGGCUCACCAAGGCGACGACGGGUAGCCGGCCUGAGAGGGCGACCGGCCACACUGGGACUGAGACACGGACCAGACUCCUACGGGAGGCAGCAGUGGGGAAUAUUGCACAAUGGGCGAAAGCCUGAUGCAGCGACGCCGCGUGAGGGAUGACGGCCUUCGGGUUGUAAACCUCUUUCAGCAGGGAAGAAGCGAAAGUGACGGUACCUGAAGAAGAAGCACCGGCUAACUACGUG